UACGUAGGGUGCAAGCGUUAAUCGGAAUUACUGGGCGUAAAGCGUGCGCAGGCGGUUUUGUAAGCCAGAUGUGAAAUCCCCGGGCUUAACCUGGGAAUGGCAUUUGGGACUGCAAGGCUUGAGUGCGGCAGAGGAGACUGGAAUUCCUGGUGUAGCAGUGAAAUGCGUAGAUAUCAGGAGGAAUACCGAUGGCGAAGGCAGGUCUCUGGGCUGACACUGACGCUCAUGCAUGAAAGCGUGGGGAGCAAACAGG
rnacentral:rRNA from 1 species